rnacentral:misc_RNA from 1 species
GAUGAAGAACGUAGCAAAAUGCGAUAAGUAAUGUGAAUUGCAGAAUUCAGUGAAUCAUCGAAUCUUUGAACGCACAUUGCGCCCGCUGGUAUUCCGGCGGGCAUGCCUGUUCGAGCGUCAUUUCAACCCUCAAGCCCCCGGGUUUGGUGUUGGGGAUCGGCUCUGCCCUUCUGGGCGGUGCCGCCCCCGAAAUACAUUGGCGGUCUCGCUGCAGCCUCCAUUGCGUAGUAGCUAACACCUCGCAACUGGAACGCGGCGCGGCCAUGCCGUAAAACCCCAACUUCUGAAUGUUGACCUCGGAUCAGGUAGGAAUACCCGCCGAACUUAAGCAUAUCAAUAAGCGGAGGA